rnacentral:rRNA from 1 species
UACGUAGGGAGCAAGCGUUGUCCGGAUUUACUGGGUGUAAAGGGUGCGUAGGCGGGUAGACAAGUCAGAAGUGAAAUCCAUGGGCUUAACCCAUGAACUGCUUUUGAAACUGUUUAUCUUGAGUGAAGUAGAGGUAGGCGGAAUUCCCGGUGUAGCGGUGAAAUGCGUAGAGAUCGGGAGGAACACCAGUGGCGAAGGCGGCCUACUGGGCUUUAACUGACGCUGAAGCACGAAAGCGUGGGUAGCAA